AUUGAACGCUGGCGGCAUGCUUUACACAUGCAAGUCGAACGGCAGCGCGGGCUUCGGCCUGGCGGCGAGUGGCGAACGGGUGAGUAAUAUAUCGGAACGUACCCAGAAGUGGGGGAUAACGUAGCGAAAGUUACGCUAAUACCGCAUACGAUCUAAGGAUGAAAGUGGGGGACCUUCGGGCCUCACGCUUUUGGAGCGGCCGAUAUCUGAUUAGCUAGUUGGUGAGGUAAAGGCUCACCAAGGCGACGAUCAGUAGCUGGUCUGAGAGGACGACCAGCCACACUGGGACUGAGACACGGCCCAGACGCCUACGGGAGGCAGCAGUGGGGAAUUUUGGACAAUGGGGGCAACCCUGAUCCAGCAAUGCCGCGUGAGUGAAGAAGGCCUUCGGGUUGUAAAGCUCUUUUGUCAGGGAAGAAACGGUUCUAGCUAAUAUCUGGAGCUAAUGACGGUACCUGAAGAAUAAGCACCGGCUAACUACGUGCCAGCCGCCGCAGUAAGAC
rnacentral:rRNA from 1 species